rnacentral:tRNA from 1 species
GCCUGGCUGGCUCAGUUGGAAGAGCAUGGGACUCUUAAUCUCGGGGUCAUGAGUUCAAGCCCCACACUGGGUG